CCUACGGGGGGCAGCAGUGGGGAAUAUUGGACAAUGGGCGAAAGCCUGAUCCAGCAAUACCGCGUGUGUGAAGAAGGCCUGAGGGUUGUAAAGCACUUUCAAUAGGAAGGAAUACCUACCGGUUAAUACCCGGUAGACUGACAUUACCUAUACAAGAAGCACCGGCUAACUCCGUGCCAGCAGCCGCGGUAAUACGGAGGGUGCAAGAGUUAAUCGGAAUUACUGGGCGUAAAGUUUGCGUAGGCGGUGUGAAAGCCCUGGGCUUAACCUGGGAACUGCAUUUGAUACUGGAAGACUAGAGUUUAGUAGAGGGGAGUGGAAUUUCAGGUGUAGCGGUGAAAUGCGUAGAGAUCUGAAGGAACACCAGUGGCGAAGGCGGCUCCCUGGACUAAAACUGACGCUGAGGUACGAAAGCGUGGGUAGCAAACAGGAUUAGAUACCCGUGUAGUC
rnacentral:rRNA from 1 species